GACGAACGCUGGCGGCGUGCUUAACACAUGCAAGUCGAACGGAAAGGCCCUGCUUUUGUGGGGUGCUCGAGUGGCGAACGGGUGAGUAACACGUGAGUAACCUGCCCUUGACUUUGGGAUAACUUCUGGAAACUGGGGCUAAUACCGGAUAGGAGCUCCUGCUGCAUUGUGGGGGUUGGAAAGUUUCGGCGGUUGGGGAUGGACUCGCGGCUUAUCAGCUUGUUGGUGGGGUAGUGGCUUACCAAGGCUUUGACGGGUAGCCGGCCUGAGAGGGUGACCGGCCACAUUGGGACUGAGAUAGGGCCCAGACUCCAACGGGAGGCAGCAGGGGGGAAUAUAGCACAAUGGGCGGAAGCCUGAUGCAGCAACGCCGCGUGCGGGAUGACGGCCUUCGGGUUGUAAACAGCUUUAGCCUGUGACGAAGCGUGAGUGACGGUAAUGGGUAAAGAAGCACCGGCUAACUACGUG
rnacentral:rRNA from 1 species